GACCUCCUGGGAAGGCCUCGUGUUGCAACC
rnacentral:rRNA from 2 species